UGCUAUGACCAUACCACCGUGAAUUCACCUGAUCUCUUCUGAUCUCAGACGCUGAGCAGGGUUGCGCCUGGCUAGUACUCGGAUGAGAGAAAUACACAUACAGAUACGGAUAAAGACACAGAUACAGAAA
ensembl:rRNA 5S_rRNA 5S ribosomal RNA